rnacentral:rRNA from 1 species
UGGGCGUAAGGGCUCGCAGGCGGUUUCUUAAGUCUGAUGUGAAAGCCCCCGGCUCAACCGGGGAGGGUCAUUGGAAACUGGGGAACUUGAGUGCAGAAGAGGAGAGUGGAAUUCCACGUGUAGCGGUGAAAUGCGUAGAGAUGUGGAGGAACACCAGUGGCGAAGGCGACUCUCUGGUCUGUAACUGACGCUGAGGAGCGAAAGCGUGGGGAGCGAACAGGAUUAGAUACCCUGGUAGUCCACGCCGUAAACGAUGAGUGCUAAGUGUUAGGGGGUUUCCGCCCCUUAGUGCUGCAGCUAACGCAUUAAGCACUCCGCCUGGGGAGUACGGUCGCAAGACUGAAACUCAAAGGAAUUGACGGGGGCCCGCACAAGCGGUGGAGCAUGUGGUUUAAUUCGAAGCAACGCGAAGAACCUUACCAGGUCUUGACAUCCUCUGAUAAUCCUAGAGAUAGGACGUCCCCUUCGGGGGCAGAGUGACAGGUGGUGCAUGGUUGUCGUCAGCUCGUGUCGUGAGAUGUUGGGUUAAGUCCCGCAACGAGCGCAACCCUUGAUCUUAGUUGCCAGCAUUCAGUUGGGCACUCUAAGGUGACUGCCGGUGACAAACCGGAGGAAGGUGGGGAUGACGUCAAAUCAUCAUGCCCCUUAUGACCUGGGCUACACACGUGCUACAAUGGACAGAA